rnacentral:snoRNA from 1 species
GCGGCCCUGAUGAAGUUUGCCCGUAAGGGCAGUACAGUUGCGAGCGGCCUUGCCGGCCGCGCUGAGGCAGCAAUCAUUCCAAUGGAUCCUUCUGAGCCGC